rnacentral:rRNA from 12 species
UAGCCUGAUAUUGAAAUUCGGCGCAGCUUGUACAGGAUAGGUAGGAGCCUUAGAUACGUGAGCGCUAGCUUACGUGGAGGCGUUGGUGGGAUACUACCCUAGCUGUGUUGGAUUUCUAACCCGCACCAUUGAUCAUGGUGGGAGACAAUGUCAGGUGGGCAGUUUGACUGGGGCGGUCGCCUCCCAAAGAGUAACGGAGGCGCGCGAUGGUGGGCUCAGAGCGGUCGGAAAUCGCUCGUUGAGUGCAAUGGCAUAAGCCCGCCUGACUGUGAGACUGACAGGUCGAGCAGAGUCGAAAGACGGCCAUAGUGAUCCGGUGGUCCCGCAUGGAAGGGCCAUCGCUCAACGGAUAAAAGGUCCUCCGGGGAUAACAGGCUGAU